CACAUGUGGUGAUACUUGUUUUUACAAUAGAUACUAUUCUUAAAUCUUUUGUAUCCUUGUACAAACUGAAGUAAAAGUGGAAAAGUAUCACUUUAUGAACUCUAAGAAAAGGUUCUUUAAAAUGUAACCUAUUUCUUUCUGUUUAUUACUGUAAUUAACUAACAUUGUUGUUCUUUACCCCUUAAAGAAGACAAUGCUUGGUUUUGUUUUAAUGUGCCAGCUUGUAAGAUUUUUCAGUCACACCUGAUCCAGUAGAACUAAAUUCGUAUCCAGUGAAGGCAGAGCCUGUUUAUUACCCUGGUCUUGUCCUUUAUCCUGAGCUUAGUACUCAGGAUGUGCAAAAUGAUAUAGUACAGUACAUAUUUUUUUACAUAUAUUCAAAAAUAUUCUGUAAUGACUCUGAGAUAUUGAACUCCAAUAGCUCAUGCUAAGCACACACUGCUGUCUCUUUCACAUUCUUACUCUUUACUGUUACCACCAGCACCAUCAUAUCAUCCUCAUCAUUGUCAUUAUAAUUGAGACUCUUGCCACCCCCAUUUCUUCCAAUCUGCCAACUUCCUCUGGCUUCCGUCUUUUCCCUAUUUAGUCAGGAUCACAUGUUCUGUCAUUUCAGCUACUCUUCUUUGCUCACUCACUACUUCUUUGCUCCGCUGACCUUCCUUUAUUCUUAUUCUAUCCUUUAUUCCACACUUUCCUUUCAAUCUCAUCUUCCUUUGCCCCCUGCUUUCCUCAGGACUCCAAGCUUCUCUACUUCUCACUUUGUAGUCUCCUUGGGUAAUUGCAUCUCUUCACAUGGCUUACACUACAACCUAAAUACUAAUGGGUCUCAACUCUGUAUCCCCAGCCCAAACCUCCCCACCCGGAACUUCAGAUUUGCAUCUAGUUGCUUAUUUGAUAUCUACCUCUAGAUAGCACUUCGUAUUCAACAUGUCCAAAGCUAAAGUCCUGCCCCCAAAUUGCUUCUUUCCCUAUUUCAGUUAGUGAUACUCUCCAGUUACUCAAGAGAUAAAUAUACCCAAGUCCUUCUAGACUCUCCCUGUUUCCUUACCCUCAUGUUUAAUCCCUCAGCAAUUCCACUAGUGCAUCUCCUAAAUAACUUAUGAUUGUAUCAUCUUUAAAAAAAAAAUACAGUGUUAUCAACUAUAGUCACCAUGUUUUACAUUAGAUCCUCAGACCUUAUUCAUUGUGCAGCUGUAAGGUUUUACUGGCCUUUUAUUGGCCUCUCCCUGUUUCCCCCACCUCCCAGCCUCUGGUAGCCAUUUUUCUACUCUCUAAGAGUUUGACUUUUAAAAAAAUUUUUAGAUUCUGCAUAUAAAUGAUAUACCAUGUAGUAGUUUUCUUUCUGUCUGUCUUAUUUCACUUAGCAUAAUGCCCUCAAGGUCCAUCUAUUUAUGAACCUGAUUCCCGAUCAAAACUAUGCGCCCUUUCAGGGAAAGAAUCAUAUCUCAUGCGUCGGAGUGUCUAGCUUAGUUCUUGGCACUAGGAUUCUGUAGAAUCUCAAGCUGGGCCCCUAAUGUGCUUGUGUGCACCGCAAUUGAUUUGGCUCAAAUAAUACACUGUUUUGAUUAAUGGCAGUUCUCCCUUUGAUAAGAAUUUCAUGCCAAGGUGGUUCAUUGCUUUUUCCUUUAAGAUAUAUGUCAAAUCAAUUUAUCAAACAUUGAAUGAAGCCCCAUGUGUCCUAAGUACUGACCAGUCCCAUGGAGAUAUGGAGAUGAAUAAGACAUGGUUCCUGCACAGUGCAGGUCACAGAAACUUUUUUGGGUCUCCCUCCCUCCAUUUCUCCAUUCUUUCCUCCCAUUCCUUUUCUGGAUAAAUUUUUGCUGAGUCUGGAAUUGUGUCCGAUGGGGUAAAUACAUGUAAAGAGGUUUUUUUAUUUUCUUUUUGCAAUACAGUCUACUCAGUGCAACAAUAGAAGUUUAUUCCAGAUAUAGAGAUAGCACAGAAGAAAGCAUCAUAGAAUUCUUAGGGUAGACAUGGGGGAUCCUGGAGGUGGUGACUUCUAAGUGAGUUAUAAAGAAUAAAAAGACACUCCAAAUGCUCAGGUAGGUGAAAGGUACUUUCAAGCAAAGAAAGAGCAUAUGCAAAGGCCUAGAGAUGUGAAGUAGCAUCAUGUGUUCCAAAAACAAUUCUACUUUGGUAUCUCUGCAGCAUAAAGUUUAGUAGAAUGGGGAUGGUGUGGGGUGGGAGAUGAAGCUAGGGUAAUAGGCAGUAUUUUAAGUGCUAAGGUCUUUUAUGUUUGGCAAACUUUUUAGUUAAGAGAAGGGUAGUCUCCAGUAUGGUGGUAUUAAUAAUCCAAGUGUGAGCCAUUAUAUUGCAAAUCUCCAUCCGUUUCCAUCGUAGAAUUAAGCAAGGUUCUGUGAUCAUCUAGCUGUAGUUUAGUGUUCAUUGUAUGGGUGAAUAAGAAUGAAAAGAAUAUGCUCCCUGGAGUUGAUGGUCCUAUUGAGGAUAAAGAAUUUACCCACACAAACAGUUCAGAGCCCUUACCAAGCAAUCUACAAACUAGUGCAAACUAAAAUUGUAAAGGUAGGGCUUCCCUGGUGGCGCAGUGGUUGAGAGUCCGCCUGCUGAUGCAGGGGACACGGGUUUGUGCCCCGGUCCAGGAAGAUCCCACAUACUGCGGAGCGGCUAGGUCCGUGAGCCAUGGCCGCUGAGCCUGCGCGUCCGGAGCCUGUGCUCUGCAACGGGAGAGGCCACAACAGUGAGAGACCCACAUACCACAAAAAAAAAAAAAAAAAAAAAAAAAUUGUAAAGAUAGUAUAUAAGUACAAUCUUUUGUUUUAAUUGAAGUAUAGUUGAUUUACAGCGUUGUGUUAGCUUCUGGUGUACAGCAAAGCGAUUCAGUUAUACAUAUAUAUACAUAUUAUUUUUCAUAUUCUUGUCCAUUAUUGUUUAUUACAUGAUAUUGAAUAUAGUUUCCUGUGCUAUACAGUAGGACCUUGUUGUUUAUCAGUUUUAUAUAUAAUAGUGUAUGUCUGCUAAUCCCAAACUCCUAAUUAAUUCCUCCCCCACCCCCUUUCCCCCUUGGUUAACCAUAAGUUUGUUUUCUAUGUCUGAAUAAGCACAGCUGGAUGAGUUAUAGGAGUGAUUUAGGAAAACAUGGGUUAUAAAGAGACAACCUGAUCUGGGGCUUAAAAACAAUUUCCAUCAGAGCUAGCUGAGCAUAGAAAAUACAGAACUGAGUAAUGUACUUGUAAAUUAGAAACCUUUGAAUGUUCUGUAGUCUAUAGUCAAGAAAUGCCCUUCUAGUUAGAUCAAACACAUAAUCUCUGAGCUUUAUAGUAUAAGCAGGAGACAACUUUAUUUUUUCUUUAUAAUAAAUUUAUUUGUUUUCUUAUUCUCUACUGGUGACAGAGGCUGUGUCAAGUAUUUAGUGGAAAAUAACAGUUAUUUUCCACUAAUUUUAGUUUUAAGGCACUUUAAGGUAUUCAAUUUGCCUUAGAGAUUCUUUAUAUGAAAUGAGUCCCUGUGUCUCUGCCAAGUCACCCUCAGACCAGGGUACACUAGGGCCACCUUAGAUUCUCCUUUCAUCUCACUACUCUCAAAAAUACACCACAGCGUCUGCCUUUUUCCUUGUGGAAUGCAUUAACUCUUCUUGUUCACUAGGGCUCACAUGCCCACAGCCCUCUACUUGGAUAUUCUUUCCUCUCAUGGAGCUCUGGUGGACUUUUGUCAGCUCAUAGGGUUUGUAUGUGGACCAUCCUAGAGCCUUUGAUCCUUAAAUCACAUUUCCCACUUAGGCAAACUCAAAUUUACGAGAUGGUGUGUUGUAAUCAAUCCUCCAAAAGAAGGAUGGGGGAAACUUUCACUUUCUAUUUGUAUGCCUCAUAAAUUAUUUCAGUUUGACAAUGAGCAUUUGCUAUUUUCAUAAUAAAAAGUAAAGAUGACCCACUUUUGAAAAAUGAAAUUCAACAGUAGAGCCUUUAGUACCAUUUUCAGGUCUGUUAAAUUAAUCUAUCUAUAUCUACACACACACACACACACACACACACACACACACACACCCUAUAGUGCAAAAUAAUGUUGAAAAAUUCAUACUAGUUUAGAAAGCAAGAGCCAUAAAAAUGUUCCUACUGUGUGACCCAGAAGCUCUACUGCUGAGAAACAACCUAAGGAAAUAAUUCAAAACAAGGAAAAUUUAAAAACCUUUACAAAGCUUGUAUACACACAGAAAAAUUGGAGAAAGAAGACUUUAAAGUCAACAUAAGGGGAAAAGUUAGGAAAAUAAUGAUAUAUCAACUGGAUGGCAUAUUAUUGUGACACUGAAAAUGAAUGUCAUAAAACUAUGUUAACAACACAGCAUGUUUACA